rnacentral:rRNA from 1 species
AACGUAGGAGACGAACGUUAUCCGGAGUUACUGGGCGUAAAGGGCGUGUAGGCGGUUUGUUAAGUCUGGCGUGAAAGCUCUCGGCUAAACCGGGAGAGGUCGUUGGAUACUGGCGAACUAGAGGAUGGUAGAGGCGUGUGGAAUUCCGGGUGUAGUGGUGAAAUGCGUAGAGAUCCGGAGGAACACCGGUGGUGAAGACGGUCUCCUGGGCCGAGGGCCGACGCUGAGGCGCGAGAGCGUGGGGAGCGAACCGG